GUGUGCGGGUGGAGGAACGGGCGCUUCGUUUGGGCUGAUGCAAUUGUGCCUUGUAGGAAGGGAGAGCGGGUGCCAGGCUGGUAUUGGAGGGGUAGAGAGGCAGGAAUGCCGAUUUACUUCGCUUUGGCGUGCUCUGCUGUAGGGCGAGCAGUUCCACGUCUGCCACGUAAUUCUGAGAUGGAAGUACACAACUUUCCCCGAGUAGCCCUGUGUGUGUGUGUAGGUGCCAGGCAGGGACUGGUGGUGCGUGUGUCACUUGGACGUGGCUUUGUCAGGCAAUACUCGCUUUGCGCAGCAAGCUAAUAGCAACCAUUACAGAAGCCCGACGGCUUCUCAGUUCGCAUCUCGGGAUAAGUCUGUCUGGGAACAGCUAUGAUAAGGACCUUUGCCCAGUGGUGUAUGAAACUUCAAACUUCUUCUUUCCAAAUAGUAUUGUUCUUUGGAUUACUUUAAACUUCUGUAUUUUGCAGUAAGCAUAAGUAGAGAUUGCUAAGGCUUGCUGUUUACCUUUGGAGGCAGCUGAAUAUUUAGAAUGAAGUGGGUAAAUAAGGCGUAUGCGUAGCUUACUGUAAAACUAGGUUUUUCGAAAGUAAACAUGGAGACAAGAGAAAGAAGGGUGCAUACUUCCCCGACCACAACAAAAGGUACAACUACAGUCACGCUAUGGGAAGCUAGGAGUAGAAGAUUGCUCUGCAGUGCACCAAAUACAUGUUACAGUGUAACCAAACACAGUUUCUUAAAAACAAGCAAAGCUAGGAGACUCUUUUGAAAGAGACCCUCCGUAGGGUGGGUGAUGCAAGAUUACCAUUUAAAGGAAUAAAUGGGUGGUAAAAGCACUAUUUUAUCUGUAUUGAACUGUGACUCUGUUCCCAUUCCUAAAACUGUUGAAUUUUUUGAACUCCAAAUCAGAAGUUGCUCCCAUGUUGGCUUUUUCUUUCCAUGCUUACACUACACGCAUUUAAUCCUCCUGUCUUCUUUGGAAAGGCCCCUUUUUUUUUCUUUUCUGUGUAUAUGGAUUUGGCACAAGGCUUACGUCUUUACAUGGGAAUAAGCAACUACAGUGCAGGCUCUUCACUCUACUUGCAAGUGCAAGGUAACUUGGUGACCAGUAAGGAAAAGAUGGCCUUCUCUAGAGUUUAAGGUUGUAAGCAGUCAUCUGUAACGCUCUGCCUUUCAACUUGUACGUGUUGUUUCAAUUCCUCCCAUUUUUCAAGGUUCCCCUUUUUGUUCCCCCUUCCUUGUGCUGUAGUUUCAUCUAAUAAGAAGAUGAGAAAUGAAAAACUGCCAAGCAAGUGAAAAGGCAGAAGCAGCGUUUUCGGAGGGCCGUUGCCACUCAGUUGCUCAGAUGUGAUGUGUGGUUGGGUAAUGUGCUGCAUAGUUUAGCUGCUGUGGUUUGUGGCUCUUCUGCUUUUUGAUGGCCUUGAUGGCAGACCCAUUUGCUGUGGCCAGUAGUCUGCAGCGAGACAGAAAUGUUACUAAGUGGGAUGUGUUGUGCAGGCCUGGUUUAACCAUCACAGUCUGUUUUGUCAGGCAGGUAAUCGUUGCUCCGUAGCUUAAAAUCUGCUAUCUGUAUUUAGCUUAUUUCCUUGUGCACGACUGCAUGUGUGCAUUAGGAGUUUAUCUUGCUUACGCUCAGUCGUCUGAAGACCUGAAUGCUCCGUUUACUUGUAAGAACGAAGAAUCAUUCCCAAAUGCAAUACUUGUGAUCCUGUGGAUGUUUGUGCCAUGAGUAGUUAAUCUAGGUUCUCUCAUAGGGUGGGUGAGCCUUGAGCAGCUAGUUACAGUAUCAGGAAAAGAGAUUAUCUGAGUUCGUAAGCCAUGUAAGUAAUCACUUAGUGAGAUUGCAUCUGUCUUUAACACAAGGGUGGUGCCUGAUUGCUUCCAAAACUUUUAAAGAAAGUCUAGACAUAACCAAAAAGAAUAUUAUUGAUGUUUCUACUCAUCUUUCUGAUGCCAACCAAGCUGAUCUUCUUUUUCCCUCUAUCUUAUUACCCUGUUUUACCCACUCACACACGUACACAGAUGCACAUACACACAGGUCAGUGUAACAAGCAGAGAAGUAUUGGGAUGUUAAAUACUUCAAGCGUGUAUUAUGGUUCUCAGUUUACUUGCACGUUUCAGUUGCUGCUUGAAAUGUUUCAUGAAAACAACAUUUUGAGUCAGGGUUGCAGUGCUCCCUUCGUGUUUGUGACAGGUUUAGUCAGGAUUGCCAUGCUCACCCAGUCAGAAGCAGUUAGUUCUUCUAAACUGGUGCUGUAGGUAGGAAGACUUCCUUGCCUGCAGCACUUCAGUGGUUUCUGCAGAGGGAAGAGAUAAGGUAGAAAAACUCUUCCCUCUACCAGUUGGGCCGGGGUGGGACUGCUGCUCAGGUUACCUUGUAGCAGCAGCGAGUUCUUGAGUAAGUUGAAAAGAAUGUAGCUUAAUAGUUUGGUGAUAAAAUACGGCUGGUAAAAUGCCUAGGUCCUUCCUGAGCCCAGCCUCCCAACACUCCUGUACCUCUGGGUAAGAAGUGAAGCUUUGCAUGCUGAGUCGCAGUGGAUCGAGGAAUGCAUUCAGCAGCUAUUCCACUUGUGGCCUUGUCUCAUCCUGACUGCGAGUAGUAGGCUGUGAGCGUCCUGUGCACCGUACGGGGUACUGGCAGUCUGCAUGGGAGACCAGAGGAGUGAAACCUGGUUUUACAAGCCAGGCGUCCUGUCGUGUUUAACUUGAAAGAAUUUUUGAGUAGUUUCUGAAGAAUUAUUAUCUGACUAGAGAGGUACUAUAUAGGUCAUCGUGAAGUCAUCUGUUAGCACCCAUAGUGGGGGUGCUCUGAGUGAUUUGAUAUGUGAUGUGGUUUGAUCACAUAAGAUGUGUGUGACUCUUUCCACCACCUACAUUAACUGAUAAAAAUGUAAACAGUCUUGUAUGCAGAAAUAAUAAUAAUAAUAAAAAAAAUCCUCUUUGAAUUAUUGAAUGCUAUCUCAAGGUACCCUAGGAAUAAAUGAAAGCAGGAAGCUCUGAUUAUGAAAAUGUUUACGUCGUUAUAGUUGGCUUUGAGGUUUUUGCUUAUCUUCAUUACUUGGCUGAUCUGGGUUUAGUAAGACCCCGCAUAUUAGUGAUUAGUGUGAUGGAAAGGAUGCUGAAGACUUGUGUAAGAGACAGCUGUGGCAGGAAAGGACAAGACGUACUGAACUGAUGGGGCAAAUCUAGUUGCAGUGAUUUGCUCUUAUCUCAAGACAACAGUUAUUUAAGAGAGCAAGUGUUUACUCAGAAUAGAGUUUAGCAGCAAGCUAUAACCAUAGCACGAGUGCUGUGGAUGUGCAUUUCAGGGCAGGGUUAACGUCAGUGCUGUUUUCUGAGCUAGUUGACAGACGACCCUGCAGUCCUGCAAUUCCCCUUAUUUCCACUGAUUCUUCCUCACCCCCAUGGCUUUGAAGUGGCCGGAUCGUUCUGAUCCUUGUCCUAAAGAUGCCACUUUCUGUAGAUGGUUACAUCAAGGAACUUGUGUAUUGUUCCCUGUUGCUCCUGUGUCUUUCAGUUCCUGCAUUUGUGUUUAACUGUUGAGAUAGAUGUUUCCAGUUUGUGCUGGCUGCUAGGUUUUGGCUUGAAGUGCGUAAGGAAAACAGGAAGGCUGGUUGUCUUGUGAACUUUUACUUCAAAUCCUGCACAAAUUGCUUUGCAGUAUGCUUGCGAUGCUUAAUACACAUAAUAUUAAGGGGACUUCAGGGAGCUUGCUCCAAAAUGUUGGUUACAGCCUUCCUCCAGUAUUUGGAAGCAGAUUAGGGGGCUGAGCCUUGAGUGGGGUAAAGCACUGGGCUGUGCAGCACUUGAGUGGGAGGUGGCACUUUACUAAGUACUUGCACUUCAGGAUAUGGGGGCAAAUGAGGGUAGUUUUAUUUCAGAUAGGCAACAUAGCUAGUGGAGGAGAUCUUAUCUUCAGUUGUCCAUUUGCCAUCUGUUACAACUUUAGUAAUUUGUUCUUGUAAUGUGCUUAAGUGAAAGACGGCAAACAAGGCUCCUUCUUGGUAAUAAAUUCUAUAAAGCUGUACAAGCACCAGGACUGUUAAGAUCCAACUCGUUAACGUGCCUUGGAGUUUUCUGAUUGCUUGACUCUUCCAGUGUGGAAGCUGAAGAGAUGAUGGCUGCGUGGAGAUGCCGCAUACCCUGCUGCCUGACACAGUGAGCAUGGGCGUGGACGAAGGUGCUGCCCUAAUUGGGAGGGGUGUCUGUAGAAAUGAGCUGAGUUUGCUGUAGAGUUUGCCACAAGGAAGGCCAUCGAUGCUUCUUCAGAAUGAGAAGCCUGCCUGGGAAGAGGCGGCUGAGCGGCUGGCUGCUAGUCACUCAUUCCUGACCUUGCGCAGCUGUUGCCCAAAUGUGGGGUACAGUGGAUUGGGCUAGGCUGCUGGUCUGGUUUUAAAAAAAACAAUAAUGGAAGAGGUGUGUGCUCUUUUGAACGUGGAUUAGUUCCUGGUCAGAUUCAUCUGGUUAUGUUGUAAGUGGGCAUGGGAGCUAUUUCAAUUGGCACCACCACUGACAAAUUCUUGUGAGCAAGAAUUACUUUGAAAUACAUUACACGGGCUCUCCCUUUUGGUUUUGUGGCUGCGCUGCUGCAUGUUAUAGCUAGUUAUGAGCUGACUGAGUUUGCUACCAGGUCUGGUUAGCAAGUAAAUGAAAGAUUAGUGAGAGCAAGCAUCAGUGAAGCAGUAAGGGAUAUAGACCUCAAAGAGCUUCACGUUUGCUUGAGCUGCUGAAAUAAGUCUCUGGUCACACCAGAACAGAUUGGCCUUGUGACCCCUCUAGCUGAGGAGGGUAAUCAUUUGGAUAACUUAAUUUUACCUGUAUGUGUCUCAUACUCACUCUGUUAAGGGAUGGAAUUUUAUUUAAUGGCUUUAAUCUCAUCCCUCUGUAUGCCAGCGGGAAAAACAACAACUCUGUUUGCCUUUGAGGCUGGUGAAAACACCAAUGACUAGUGUAAAAAUGUUACUAAUACUUUGAAUGAUUCAAAGUAUCUUCUGCAAAUGUUUUUGGUGUCUUAUAGAUCUGUUGUCACUGAGCUGAUUGCAACUUUGUGGGUUGAUAUUUGUAAGAAUAAUAAAAACACACAACUUCUUGGGUCUGGUUGAUGCUGUGCCUUUGCACUGUGUCUUCUUGUAAAAUCUGCAUAUCCACAUCCCUGAAUUUUUUUGUCUCCAGCUUCUGACCCUUAAUACUCUAAUUUCUUUAGUAGACUUUGUGACAGUUUUAGUGGAUUGCUGUGAUCAUCCCAGGAAAUGUUUAUGAUGGUGGGAUGUUUUCUUCAAUACCUGUGCCACAUGUUGAGCAUAUGUGCUCAGCUUCUCUCAGUUCUUUAGUUAAACAAGCUUAAAGAUAUUCUUCAAUGUAGGAGAAAAUUGUUGUUUCAAGGAGACUCUUUUAAGGUGUGCUCUCUAUCGUCGCCCUUCUUUAGUCGUAAUUCUUAUUUUCAUGAAUCUUUCCCUGUGCCCAGGAGUAAUCUGCCGUGCUUGCUGGUAGCUGUGUCAGUAUCCCAUGAUUAGAAGUAAAUCAGUUGUUAUCAGCAAUUCCAGCUGCCCUUUGCUCUUUGAGUGAGUUUACUUGUCACUUUGGGUUUUUAAUUCUUUCAGUUUGACUUUGUCAACAAGAACUGUUUACAUGAAUUUGAACUCUUGUAAACUUGGUCGUGGAAGGAAAACCACUUAAGGCUGUGGAAUGGAAAAGUGCAGUGUCUGGUUUGGAAAGUACCUGAGCUGUUGAUUGGUGUCCCGGUCUCCGGCAUAGGCAGGGAAGUAUUGUCUUGUGAUCCCUGGGGAAAAAGCAUUAGAACAGUGCUAGAUGUUAUCAGCUUCUAGACUAAAUAAGCAUCUGCCCAAACCUGACAUAUGACUGAUUCUUUAAGUGGGGCAUGAGGCAACAAUAACGCUUGUUCAUGGAUCUCUGUGCCUUCACAAGUGUCGCAGUUUUAUGCUUUCCAGGUUGAGGGACAGAUACACCAGUUAAAUGUUUUCCUCAGGAUAGGACAAGAAAGCCAUGGCCUAGCUUGCAGGGGAGCUCAGGUGUUCUCUGCUGUUUCUCGUGCGUGCUCCUCACUGCUUGUUAAAAGCAUUGACCAGGGAUGUAAACCUUACACAAGUUCUGCUGUACCUCGGCAGAACAACGGGCAGCCUUGCCUAAGGUGGAGAAGACUACGUGAAAAACUGACUCUCUGGCAUGGGAGUUGAAGCUGGCACCGGCACUUAGGGACUCUGAAGGCUUGCUGUCUGUAAGUUCUGUCAAAGUAGGUGCGCAGGGAUAUACGGGGCUGAGGUGCACUGAUGUUACUGACUGCUUUGACAGCUUUACUGCAGCCUGCUUAAGGAUUCGCAGUGAAACUGGUUUACUUUCACUUGAGGUGACAAAAUGCUGUGUUUUUUCCUCAUUGCUGAGUCAGGGCAGAGCUCAGCUGAAUGUGCAAAGAGGCCAACAGCAAGCAAAUGUUGUGUUAGCAGCUGCUCUUCUGAGCUUGUGUCUGCACAAGGAUGAGCAGCAAGGUGGUAUUUGUGGGCUAGGAGUCAGCAGUUCAGUUUCUUAGCACAAGUAGGGUGCUGCAGGACUGCCCAUGUUACUGAAGAGACAAGACUUUCCUUCAGUGGUCUGAAAUACUCGAAAUAUCUGGGGUAUUUCAAGCAAAAUGCUGUUCUGGUGCUCGGUGACUGAGAGCAAAACUAAGCCAUUCCAGCCUCCUCUGCAGAACUUAGUUUCUGUUGCUUUGAAAUUGAGGUGUCAAGAUUGGCUGCCCAUGGAGGGCACCAGGGAAGAGCAGAUAUCCAGGCUGUGGCCCACGGAGGAGUCCAUGCGGAAGCAGGUUCUCCUGAAGAAUUGCAGCCCAUGGGAAGGACCCAUGCAGAAGCAGGGGAGAAGUGUGAGGAGGGAAGAGCAGCAGAGAGGAGCUGUUAUGGACUGAUCGUAAGCUCCCUUGUACCCCUGGCUGCCUGGCCAGGGAAAGGAGGCAGAGGAGUUGGGAAUGAAGGAGUGAAGGUGAGAUUGGGGGAGUGGGAAUACAAGGAGGGAGGGUGGGAAGGUGUUUUAGUUUCUUUUUUUCUCACAACCCAACUCUAAUUUUUAUUGCAAAUUAAAAUAACUUUCCCCAUGUCAAGUGUGUUUUGCCUGUGAUAGUAACUACAAGUGAUCACCGUGUCCUUAUCUCAACCCAUGAGCUUUCUCAUCUUAUUUUCUCAUCAUAUUUCCCUGGUUGGGAAGGAGGAGUGAGAGGGCAGCUGGGUGGGUGGGUGUCUGUCAGCCAGCCAAAGUCAACCUACUGCAGUGACGUACAAGAAUACAUACGUAGGAAUAUACACAUGUGUACAUGCAUUUUUAUACCUAUACACCUACUAGGACUUGAGAUAACACCAUGGUGGAUUUCUGGUGUAGAGGUGGUCAGCCACAGCAUAUUCUUUCUUAGGCUGAGGUAUGUGGUCCUUAAUACUUGUGUGUUCUUAUGAAACACAGCAUCUUUUGUUACUGGGUGGAAUGGCAUAUGGAAGGAUGGAAUGGAGGAUUUUGCUUGUGUAUUAAGGUAAAAUUGCGUCUUCGUGUGGAAAUUUUAUCCUACGUCUGGAUGCUUAAACAGAUCUUAGUGGAAUUUCAGAGGAAUGAUUUAGGCCUGUCUUCUCCUAGCUAUUAAGACCAUCAAAGACAGGAUUUUUCCACCGGAUAUUUUGUUUACAGUGAGAGAAUAAUGGCAUGUAGAGACAUAGGUGGCUGUAUUGUAAGAGGAGAACUUUGUAACUUUGUGCUGCUUUUCUAAAAUAAGAUGUUUUGUAAGGAGCUGACUGCUGUUGUUUCUUGAGGGAUGUAUGGGGAAACUUUAGGUGGGGGAAAUAGCUAAAUGUCAUGUGACUGUAGUUUGAGAGAGAUGUCAACAGUGGACUUUGUUUCACAAUGCACUUGCUUUCAGUAACGAAUACCCAAUAUCGCUGUUUUGCAAGUGUGGAUUGUUUUGGUGACUUACGAAGCUUAGUCACUAGAAAAUCCCACAUCCUCUUUUCUCCUGGAAACUUCUGGGCUGCUAGGGAAACCACAGUGAACAUACAGGUAUGUUGACUUUAAAGAUCUCGACAAAACCACAGAAAUGUGAGCCGCUGAGACUGUUGUAUUAAUGCAUCUAUUUCCAUCUUCCUGAUCUGCGACUCUGUCGUCAGCUUGUUACCUGUAGCAGCCUGUCUGAAUCUUUUCAUCUUUCUUUCAUCAGACUUUUUGAUUAUUUCCUGAUUUUUCAUCCAUACGAGGCUAUUUAUAAAUGAUAUAAAUGACUGUAUUGCCAGACAUCUUUAAGAUAAAUGAAGCAAGUUGUUUGUAUUAAUUAGUAAACCGAUGACUAGGCGUUUUGAGAGGAUGGCAGUGCAGCAUGGAACUGCAGCCACCGUCAGCAUGCAGUGCUUAGUGAUCUGAUAGAAGUUUCCACUUAAGCUGUGUUAGUGCUUGUGGAAAUCAGAUGCCUGUGAUUACAGCUUUAAUUUGCAUUCUAGUUUUGUUAGGACUCCUAGUGAUCAAGCUGAGGUGGAUCCAGAGGAAUCAAGUUUAUUUUGGGGUGUUCAUAGCCUUAAUUAACAGAACUUUUUAAUUGGGUCCAUGAUCUCAGUGUGGACACUAUGAUCUGCAAAGGACUUUUAACUAUUGGUGUAACUAAUUAGUGUAAAGCUUCAGUGCCAAGAAAGGAUUUCCUUGUAUGUGCUUCCAAGCCCCAUUUUCAACCUUUCCCAGCUAGUGCGUGCCCUAUUUCUAAAUACGAAAAUGUAGAAUAAAACCAUUUCUUGCCCAGAAGGUUUUCAUUAACCGGUAUGAAAAGAGUGGAAGCAACCAGGGGAUACAAGUGAAUGGUGAGAAAGUACGUCAGCUGGAGUGGGCAUCGAUCUGUAAGCACUGCCAGCUUAGGCACUGUUGGAUUUAUACAGAUGGUGUUGCCAAAUGUUUUGGAGGCAUUUCAAGAGAUUAGAAGAAAUUUCUUUACUGAAAGGGUUGUGCGGCAUUGCAGGCUGCCCAGGGAAGUGGUUGAGUCACCAUCCCUGGAGGUAUUCGUGAAAUGUGUAGAUUUAGAACUUAAUAGCACGGUUUAGUGGGAACUUCAGUACUAGGUUAAAGGUUGGACUCGAUGAUCUUAGAGAUUUUUUUCCAACCUCAAUGCUUCUAUGAUUGUAAGAGACUUUGAAGGAACUGAAAUAAGUUUGCACUGUUUGAGCAGACACUCCAAAGGGUGAGGGACGAUGUCUAGGAGAAAAAGUAAGAAUGAGUAUAGCUUUGGAUAUCACCAGUUAGUGGUAGUGGAUGGGGGAGGUAUCCAGAUGUUGACCUGUUAGAUAGCCAGUCGCAUAUGCAAUGUCUCCUCUACAGAUUAAGUUGCUAGCUCGUUUCACUUAGUCUCAGCUGACCUGGCCAAAGAUCCCUCUGAGGGAUCUUUCCUCUGAGGGACCUGCAAGGAGGACUCCUCUCAGCACCCUGAAGGCAGCGGUUAGCCAUCCUCUCUAAGAGUUGUUCUGUGGAGGUGUGCCCCGUGUCAAAGAUACUGGAAAGUAAACUUCACCAGUGUAAUACUACAACCUUUUUGUGUUACUGUUGAAAACUGUGAGCUUGAUUGCUCUUAAUCCCACUGAAAGCUGAAGAGUUAACCAUGAUUUGUUUAACUAACCAUAUGCAAACUCUUGUGGUUAUGGAUGCCUGUCUGCUACCCGUUCGGACUGACUCUAUCUUCCCAUGCUUUGCUGCUGGGUAAUUACAAAGGCUUCCUCCACAUAGGUGAUUUCAAAGCAAUAUCUUGUUGCCACUCACAAGAACUGCUGAUGUAUGGAUGCCAGGGGGCUGUGAACUGGGUCAGGGUCAAACUAGCUGAAAACAUGCAACUUUUUCACUAGUUUUGUGCAUCCUGGCAAACACGCCAGGGUUUUUACAAUGGAAUCAAUAAGCUCUCGAUCUUCAGGUCUGCUUUAGCUACUGUAGAACUGCACCUUCGGAGUUAGGAAGGUCUUGUUCAUUCACAACAGGUAAAUGGAAACAAUAUGACAUCAGUAAAGUUGGCUAGGUGGAGAUGCUGUGUAGUGGAUCAUGCUUGUUCUGGACGUGUGUAUGGUGAAUACUGCAUCUUCCGUCAUCAAUUCACAGAGGAAAGCAGAGAUCUUACAUAUAUGGUGUCGUCUUCUUACUAAUGUUAAUGUUACCCUUGGAGCAGUGAAUAUUGCAGUUCCUAGUAACUGCCUUAAUGCCUGUCUUUUUCAAGAGAGCAAAAAAGCGUUUGGGAUGUUGCUCUCAGUCCUGAGACUCUCCAGCUGUCCUUGCCGCAUAUUGGGUGAUACAUGUCUGGCAGAUACUCUGCUUCUAUUUUACAACUGCAUAUCUCUUUUUUUUCCCCUCCAAUCUUUUAUUCUAUAUGUAGAAUACAUAUAGAAUAAAUAACCUGUAUGUAGGUUGUUCAAUCACUAGAUAUAGACAGUGCCUUAGAUGUUGUAACUGCCUGGAUGUCAGCCAGCUGGUGUUGAGGGUGGUGUUUGGGGAAAAUGAAUGAUGAUUGCUCUUUAUGGUAACCUCAGCUCAUGUUCAAAGAGCAGGACAUCAGCAGUAACUUCCUGUUAUGGAAGCUGAGCGUUCGGCUUUUAAGCUCUGGUACGUGGUAAAUGUUUUUAACUUCGUCCAUACUGUGGAAAAGAGGCUAGCCAAGGUCGGUCCUUCCUUUUUGCGCUUCUGCGGAUUCGGUGACUCGAGGCAAAAAUUGAACAAUGGUUUUAAUUCUCUCUGUGCACCCAAGAAACUCAUCAGCAAAGCUGGGUAUCUUUCUAAUGACCACCUAGUUAAGAAUUCAAAUGACCUGAGAGCCUUCUGCUGCUUGUGAAUUAGUUUUUACUUUGUCAGAUGUCUUCAUUUCUUGUCCAGCUGAAGUAUCGAGGGUGACUGUCUGCUUUGACUAACCUGAUAGAGGAGGUGUGAUCUGUGUGAAGCACUGUUAACCCUUUUACCCAUAUGAGAGUUGCUUUCUGUCAUGCAGUUAAUAUAAAACUAUUAUGACUAAAGACUGCUUGUGCUUUUACUGAAACUUGUAUGCUUCCAGGUUGCAGUGAACUGGCAUUUUGACCUGACUGUUUAGGGCUAGCGCCUGAAAUCUGCGAAGUCCUGUGCUUCAGGAUUUGGGCUGCAGCACGGAAACCUGAGCAAUAAUUUCUGCUUUGAAAGCCAUGGUCACAUCGUUUGUAUAUGUUGGAGGACAAAGCGUAGGCUAGACAAGUGUGAUGUAUAACUUGAUGGUGGGUCUGCAGGUGGUCUGCAGUGCCUGGGCUUGCUGGGGGCUGGGAACAGGCUUCGUGGGGUGGGCAACUGAAGUAUACUGCCAAAGCGUCUGGGCACCCC